rnacentral:rRNA from 1 species
GGGGGGGGGGGGGGGGGGGGGUGGGGGGGGGGGGGGGGGGGGGGGGAGGGGAGGGGGGGGCUGGUACGGGUGGGGGGUGGCGGGCGGGUGAGGAAGGCAUCGGGAUCUACGUGUUCGGGGGGGAUAACGGAGGGAAACUUACGCUAAUACCGCAUACGACCUGCGGGUGCAAGCCGGGGAUCUUCGGACCUUGCGCGAUUGAAUGAGCCGAUGUCGGAUUAGCUAGUUGGCUGGGUAACGGCCCACCAAGGCGACGAUCCGUAGCUGGUCUGAGAGGAUGAUCAGCCACACUGGAACUGAGACACGGUCCAGACUCCUACGGGAGGCAGCAGUGGGGAAUAUUGGACAAUGGGCGCAAGCCUGAUCCAGCCAUACCGCGUGGGUGAAGAAGGCCUUCGGGUUGUAAAGCCCUUUUGUUGGGAAAGAAAAGCAGCAGGUUAAUACCCCGCUGUUCUGACGGUACCCAAAGAAUAAGCACCGGCUAACUUCGUG